CUCUCAAUUAGUCGGAACUGGUCACGAAUACACAAUCUAAAAUAAAUAAGUACACAUACUAAAAUGGUGAUCAAAUUAUUAUAAUUAAUAAUUAAUUAAAUUUAGACUUACUGCUUCCUCGGGAGGAGAGGGGGGAAGGAAGGGUGAAAGGAUCAAAAUUUUUUACUUUUUUUUUUAUUUUUGGCCAACAACCAUCUUAGAAUUCUUAGACAUAAAACUUCUUCUUGGGACUUCUGCUUCUGAUUGAGAUAUUGCUUGUACAGCAAGCUCAUCUAGUACAAUGAUUUUGUCCAAUAGAUGACAUAUCUGUUGCAACAAAUGAGUCAUCUAUUAAAAAAAAAACAAUAGCAAGAACACAACAAUAUCACCAUUUAUCAAUACACCAUAUUUACCUAUAAAACAACACCAAUAAGACCAAUAUUUAUCAAUACACCACCACCAACAACAACAACACAAACAAAUCAAUACCGCAAACACUAACACACACCAACAACACCAAUAUUUACUAAUAAAUGAAUACCAACAACAUCAACAUUUAUCAAUAUUUACAAAUAUACUAAUACAAACAAAACCAACAACACCAACAAUCAACUUAACCAACAGAAACAUUUACCAACAUUUAAUAAUACCCCAACAACAACAACACACCCAACAACAUCAACAAACAAAAACAACAACAAAGUCCAAAAAAAUGCAACAAACACCAACGAAUCAAUUGUUGUUUAAGUAAUUGUUCACUUAAAUCAACAAAACCAACAGUUGUUGAAUUUGGCCAUAACAAAUUUCUUCAAAAAAAUUUAAAAUUCAAGUUUCACUAUCUUUACAAUAAUGUUCAAGAACAAGAACUACAACAAUAAUAAAUAAAAUCAUAUUUAACUCAGAAAAGGUACCACGUUUACAUCAAUCACCAUAUUAAGAGAAGAAAUACAAUAAAUUAGAAUUUUCUUGAGUUUUCAUUUCAUUUUUAAGAGAAAUAUAUUAAAAUGGUUCACCUAUACUAGAUGAGAAAGUUAACUCAAGUUCCUUUUUUUCUUCAUAACUAAAAAGUCCUAAUUAAAAAAAAAGUCUUUACCUGUGAAAAGAGAGAAAUUGACAGUUGAAAGUCGAAAAGAAAUGAUAAAGAACUUGAAGCUAUUAUCGCCGGAGAAUGUUGUUACAUCAAUCAGUUAAGGAUGAUUUGCAGUAGUUGUUGGAUGAUUGAGAGAGAGAGGUGAGACGUUUGAGAGGAGAGACUAGGAGAGUUGUGAUUUUUGAAAACUGACUUUACUUUUUUGUUUUUAUCAAAAAUAGUUGUGGAUUGUUUUGUAUUUUUAAAAAGAUUAAGAAGUUUUAAAAAUGUUAAUUGAGUCCCCAAUUAACUUAAACUAAUUUUAGUUGUCUUUGACAUUUAAACUUGGUCAAGAGUCACCAAAAACUAAAACAAGACUUGGAGACACCUUUUGUUUAAUUUUAUUGUCAAACCAUACUCCCUUCGAUUAUAUUUUACAUUAGUUCAUGUUAAGACUUGAUUAUCUUCUUUAAGAAAAUUACUAUUUUAAAAGGUAGUUACGUGGCGAGGUCGAGGCAAAGAAUAGUAAAAAAAUGCAUUGAACCAUUGUAGGAAGGUGAAAGUAUCAAAAGAUGAAUGACUCAAAAUUUUAAGUGAUUAUUUAAGCGUUGGGGCGUUCGCCUAAGCAAGCCCAAAAAACUUGACAAAGUAAAAUGAUUUUUUUCUAUUAAAUCUCUAAUUUAAACUUACUACUAAAAUAUAUGAUUGAUAAACACUUAAAUAUUCAAACCAAAAGUAAAAAAAAAAAACUUAAAAGUCAUACUUUUAAAUGUAUUUGUCGUGGACGUCAAUGACGUCUACUAAAAGAAGAUAUUGCAUACACACUUUCCUCUUCCUAGUUCCUUUUGACUAGGUUUUAAGUUAUUUACUUUUUAUUUUUCUAUUUUAAAAUAGAAUAUAUGGUAAAUGGAUGCAUAAAUAAUUGAUUGAGUAACAAGAAGAUGGGAUUGAUUAGUCAUGUACUAUUUUUUAUACAGACUUGUGUUUUUUAGGAAAUAUAGUAGUUUUGUAUAUGAAAAGUUGACCUUAUAUAUUAGUUGUAUUAUGUGGCUUUGGUUAAUUUUUUUUUGAAGUAGUUUUAAAUAUAUCUUCCACUUUUUUUUUUUUUAUAAUUUUGAUGUAGUUUCACUUUUUUGGGUGAUUUAUCUUUUAAAAAUAUUUAUUUUUAAUUAUAUUAUUUUAUAAAAUAUUAAAAAUAAUUUGUGGAUCUUACGUCUCAUGUCGCACACGAUAAAACGCUUCGUCCCACGCCUCCGUCCUUAAAAAUACUUAAGAAAACUUUAAUUGUAUGGAUAUACUAAACUAAGCUUAUAAUGAUGCAUGAGACUUUAAAUUUGAUUACUACUAAUUUAUAUAGUUAUUUAAUAUAAGGGCAGAAAGGAAAAAUUAAUAAUAAAAUUACAUUAAUUAUCUAGAAAAAUCAUUGAACUUUGCUUUCUAUCAAAAAUACCACUCAACUUAAGAUUUUUAUUUUUUAAAAUCACUCAAUAAAAAUGACAUGACAAAAUAAAUAAAUUUUUAUGUCAUCUAAACAUAGACUCCACAUUAAUAAAAUCUACAACGAUAACAAUAACAUACCCAGUGUAUUCCUACAUAGUGGGGUUUAGGGAGGGUAGAGUGUACGCAGAUCAUACUACUACUUAUUUUCGAUAGACCCCCAACUAAAGACCGAUAACAAUAUAAAAACCCAAAACAUAGAUGCAUAUAAACUUGUACAGUAUGCAAAAUAAACUAACACCGUUAGCCACAAGAUAAUACUACAACCACAAGAUAAUACUAAAACUAUUUAUCUAAAACCAUAGAUAUCACUCAACACCACGAACAAGACUUCAGACACAAAUAAAGAAUGCUCCCCUACUGUUGCCGACACACUCCUACCCCCAACCCUCUACCCUAAUUCGUGUCCUCCAUACCUUCUUAUCAAGGUCAUGUCAUCCGUAAGCUGUAACUACUCCUUAUCAUGCUUAAUCACCUCCCUCUAAUAUUUAUUCAGCCUACCUCUACCCCGCCUAAAACUAUUUAUAGCCAGUGUCUCACACCUCCAUACUAGAGCAUCAGAUCCCCUCCUCAUCACGUGUCCGAACCAACGUAACCUCACUUCUCGCAUCCUGUCCUCCACCAAAGCCACUCACUCCCACAUUCUCCCGAAUAAUCUCAUUCCUCAUCUUAUAUUUCCUAGUAUAGCCACAUAUUUAUUGCAACAUUCUCAUCUCCGCCACCUUUAACUUUUGGAUGUGGGAGUUCUUAACUGGUCAUCACUCCCUCCAUACAACAUAAUCGGUUGGACUGACACUCUGUAGAACUUACCUUUAAACUUAGGGGGCAUCUUCUUAUCAUGUAAAACUCUCGAAACGAGCCUCCAUUUCAACCACCCUGCCCCAAUACGAUGCGUAACAUCCUCGUCAAUCUCACCAUUGCCUUGAAUCAUAUACCCUAGAUACUUGAAACUUUCCCUCUUUUGAAAGGCUUGAGAGUCCAUCUUCACAACCACCUCAGCCUCCUACGACACAUCACUAAACUUACACUCCAAGUACUCCAUCUUGGUCCUGCUCAACCAAAAUCCUUUAGACUCAAGGGUCUAUCUCCAAAUCUCCAACUUAUCAUUAACUCCCCCUCUCCCCUCGAGUCUCGUCAAUCAGUCCCACAUCAUCAAGAAAUAACAUACACCAAGGCACCUCACCUUGAAUAUGUCACGUCAAAACAUCCAUGACCAAGGCAAAUAAAAAGUGGCUAAGAGUUGAUCUUUGGUGCGACCUUAUCAAAACCAAAAAGUGCUUUGAAUCUCCACCUACCAUUCUCACACGAGUCUUCGCGCCAUCAUACAUGUCUUGAAUCAACCUAGUGUACGCCACAGGCACCCCUCUAGCCUCCAAGCACCUCCACAGAAUCUCCAUAGGAACUCUGUCAUAUGUCUUAUCAAGAUCACUAAACACCAUGUGCAAGUCCUUCUUUCUUACCUGCAACUGCUCCAAUAAUUUCCUCAAAAGGUGAAUGGCCUCAGUUCGAGCGACCUGGCAUAAAAUCGAACUGAUUUUCAAACGUAGUCACAAUCCUUCUCAGCCUUAACUCUACCACCCUUUCCCAAACCUUCAUAGUAUGACUCAACAAAUUAAUACCUCUAUAGUUGUUGCAACUCUGGAUGUCUCCAUUGUUCUUAUAUAAUGGAAUUAUCGUACUCUACCUCCACACUUCAAGCAUCUUUACCGCCCUAAAAAUGAUGUUAAACAACCUUGCCAACCACUCCAAACCUACCCCGCUAGUGCUCUUCCAAAAAUCCAUUAGAAUCUUGUCUGGCCCCGUCGCCCUACCCCGACGCAUCCUGCGAAUAGCCCCCUCAACCUUGAUCCUUCUAUAAUAACCAUAAUCACGACACUACUCAGGUUUCUCCAAGUCCCCAAUACAAAACCUUUGUCCCUCUCUCCAUUUAAGAGUUUACGAAAAUAGGACUGCCACCUCUUCCUAAUGAGCAUAUCUUCAACCAACAGUAUACCAUCCCCUCCCUUGAUGCACUUCACUUGGUCAAGGUCACGAGCUCUCCGCUUCCUGCCUUGGCAAGCCUAUACAACUUCUUAUCCUCGCCUUUCUUCUCUAAAGUUGUAUACAAUCUCUCAAAAGCUGUUGUAAACUUGUCAACUGGGCAGGGUUGGGCCGUUUCGGCUUGGUUUGCCCAACUUAUUUAGUCUACCCAGCUUGGUUUGACUCGAUCUGAUAGGCCAUCGGGCAAUUGGACCUCCAAUCUUGGGCUGGACCAUCUAGGAUGGCCAUCUCGGUGGACCUUCCCAGUUACAAAAUGGACCUGGCCCACCAGUGACCUGGCCCGAUAAUUAAAAAAAAUUAUUGGAGCCGUUUGGAUUUUGGUUCAAAAUGGACCGCUGGCCCAACAACUAUAAUGCCAUUUGAGGUCCAAUGACCAUUUGACAAAACUUCCUUAUUUUUUCUUAAAAAAUAAAUUUAAUUCAAAAAAAUUUCUAUAAAUACCCCAAAUUUAAAUCAUUUUUCACACAAUCUUAUUCUCUCAUUCUCUCAAUCUCUCUCAAAUAUUCUAAUUAUCUCUUAAAGUGCUCAAUUUUAUUUUUUAAUUUUGCAAUAACAAAUAUCAAGUGAAAGUUUUCUAAAGUCGAAACUUUUAGAUAUUUUUAAAAUUUGGUAUUGUCGUUCCGUCUCUUACUUUAAAUUUUUAAUUAGUAUAUUAAUUGUUGAAUAUUUAUCUUUAGUAUUUUUAUGUAUUUUGAAUACUUAUUAGUUUAAUUUAUAAUAUGGAUAAAUUAAGAAACCUCGGUUAAAAUGUCAAAAAAUUUUAUCCCGAAAGUGGUAGUAGUAGUAAAAAAUAAAUUGGUGGCAGUUCCGGCAGAGGUAGUUCAAGUAUUAGAUAUACCCGUGUGCCUCCAGUACUAAUUAGUCAAUCUUUUGAGGAUGAAAUAGGUGUAGGCGCUCACGGUAUGAAUUAUUUAGAAGCUCUGAAAAAUUAUGGUAUAGAAGAAGAGAAUGAAGUAGACACGGUUAAUUUAGAUGUAUUUGAUGAAAAUAUUCGCGAGACACCCGAAGUUGAAAAUGUUAAUGCUACAUUCGAAUCGGUUAAUCUUCCUCUCUGUCCUCUCCGUGCCCCUGCAAGAUCUCGUAGAAGAACUAGUAUUGAAUGAGAAUUUUUUUCAGAAAUAGAAGGAAAAAGUAAGGUGCAAUGCAAUAUUUAUAAAAUUAUAUAUGAGCAUAAAUUCGGAGACAAUAAAGGGGGUACAGGUUCGUUGAUGAGACAUUUAAGAGAUAGAAAUGCAAGAGCGUUAAGUAUUGCACAAGGUAGUGAGGCUGUUGGUGGGCCUGCACAAACUAGACUGAACCCAACAACCGGUCAAUUAGUUAAGAAUUAUAAUAAAAUAAAGGAUCGAAAAGAAAUAGCGAAAAUGAUAGUUGUGGGUCGUCUGCCUUUCACUUUUGCUUCUUUGGAUGCUUUUACUCAUUAUAUUCAAGUAAUUUAUAAUCUUAUGUUUACAAGUAUUCCUAAAAAUACUUAUCGAGCCAAUAUUUUAAACUCCAUACACAAUAUAUUUAUUAUUUAUCUGUGUUAUUAAAAAGUAUUCCAUGUAGAAUUGCUCUAACUUCUGAUCUUGAUCGUCCUAUUAACAAAAAUGAUAUUUAACAUUACAAAAAAUAGGUCUAAUUGGAAGGGUUUAUUUGUGAGGAUUAUUUUUAACCCCUGCAAAAUUAUGUUAAAUAUGAGGUUAAAAAUGUGCCACUAAAAAUUAUAUAUUUGUGGGGGUUUUAACCCCCGUUAUCCAUCUAAAAAUAGUAGCGCCAAAUGAUUUCCCCUUUUUUGCCCCUAAAACAUUUCUCUCUCUCAUUUUUCCGAGAGAGAGUGGGAGGUACUCUCCGUCGGCCAUUGAUUACUCAGUGGGAGGUACACUGGCCAUUGAUUAGCCAGUUGAUAGGAACUCCGGCCAUUGCUACAUAAGCUUCCGAUCGGCCAUUGCCUUCCUAGCUCCAGGUACUUGUUUUUAAAUCUUAGUGUUUGUUUCACUAGCGGUGCCGCCGUGGAAAGUCAUCUCCGGAAGGAUUUUCUGGUGAUGAUAUCCAUCCCACUUGAAGCUCCAAGGUAAUUCAUUUUUCUAUGUUUGAACCGACCCUAUAACGAAGAUUUGGGUCCUCCAAAGUUCAGUCAGUGAAGACCACCACUUUUCGGUCAAUCUUCGACGCCUCUGUUAGCACUAACACCUCCAUGCCACUGUCCACGGCACUUGUCGGUAGUUGGACAAAAGUAGUGUGACUCGGUGAAAGAUCACUAUGAACGAUGUCACUGCACCUUUUCAUUUUAUGUCGUUCUCUUUAUGCUUUAACUUGAAAGGAUGGUGCAAAUAAGAAUGCUAUGUACUCUAGUUCUAGCAUCUCAGGUUAUUUUUGAUUGAGUAUGAAUACCUGACCAAAUAUGUUCAAGGAUUAUGUGUUGUUCAAUAUUAUGACACUUUUUGGCUUCUCUAUUGCUGAUUUAACAAUUGUGAUGAUUUGCUAUAAAAUAAUUGUGGUUUUCAGAAUGAAGUCUGACCUAAAACCUUUCAUGAAGCAGUGUGUUUGCUCUAUAUUAGGAAAAUAGUUGGUUGAACCAGUGGUUAGAUUUGAGCCAAGGAUCUAUUGGAAACAACUCUCUACCUUACAAGGUAGGGGUAAGGUCUUGUGCACACUACCCUCUCGGUAUCUUGUUGAGGAGUAAGGUCUCAUACAUACUACCCUUUCGAUAUCUUCUUGUUGAAAAAAUGAUUAGAUUUGCCUGAACUGAACCUUUGGUAGCUGCGGAAUGGCUUCAAGAAGUUAAUUUGGAGUGCCAUCCAUAGAAGAUAUUGUUGGCAUCUACUUGUACUGCCUUAUUCAACAUUGUUAUUUACUUUGUGAUUCAAUUAAGGUGAUUUUUAUGCCCAGAAGCUUAUUUUGUUGGGAUUCUCAAACAUGUUGUUGGGUGCGUGUUGGAUCCGUCAAAAGAUUAAUGGUUUUUGAGAAACCGAUACAGGUUUAGUGACAUUUUUGAGAGUCCGAGCAACAUAGUUGGAACAACCUUUGAGUUUCACCUGUUAGCAUACACGGACCUAACAACACACACUCGUUGGGGUCAUCGCAACAUACUGUAUUCAUAUAACAGUAUUGAUAGGUCUUUGGUAUUUGAUUUGGAUUUAGGCUCAAGUAUCCACAUAAUAAUCUAAUGGUUUCUUUUCCCGGACUAAUGGAAGAGUAGAUUAAGCUAAUUUUCACAUUUGUCCAGAUCAGAAUAGUUCAAAAUCUUGCUCAAGUCAACACCAAUCGAGACCCAUAUUGAGUCAAAUUUCUACUGAUUUCUACUCAACCAAUUUUGUGCUGAUUUCCCCAAAUUUCCCUCCUACUCCUCCAUAAUUCAUAGCCUCCAAAUUGCAAUUCUCUGCCGUCUUUCUCUCAUUUUCUAAUUCUCACCAGAAGACAUAAACUACAAACUUAGCAUUUUUCUUACACGGAUUUAGUUUAAAAUUUGUGUCUGUGUGUAUUAAGUUAAACUAAAGUUGAAGAUUUCAUGUAAAGGUUUGAGCUACAUCUGCAAAUGAUCAAUUCAAUUUUUGGUGAAUUAAACAUAUUUAUAGAUUCUCCUUCGUUAUUUCAAUGAGUGAAAGGUGAAAAACACACGUAAAGAAUCCCGAGUUUCAGUAAAUGGAUACAGAAAUGGAUGAAUGAGAAUAGUUAAUAGGUAAGUAUUAAUUUGUGAUGGAGGGAUUCUGCUAAUUUGAUCAAUGAGAAAGGAUGAGAGUUGCUGAAUUGAAGACUAACAUAUCUGUGAAGAGCAGGUCUUUUCGUCCUACUUCUACACCCCAACGGUACUUACCACUAUUACUUUCUCGAUAUCCAUCUUCUUAAUUACUUACUCAUCUUUCUAAUCAUUUUGUAUGUGGAUAUUCUCGAAGAAUCUCACCUCACUUAUUGCGUUUGUUUGUAACAAGGUCCAUAUAUUAAAGAUUUGAACAUCACCAACAUUAAUAUCAUCAAAUAGUAGUACAAGAUACAAAGGGUUUAACUUUAAGAUUUAGUCCUCAAUUUAUUCUACUGCUGUAGUAAAUUUAAUAUUUUGUUGAAAUUUUGCUAGUUUUUUCACACACCCACUUACCUUAUUGUUAAAAUAUUGAUCAGUUGAAUUGAACCGAUUGACCAAAGACUGCAUUCUAUUCCGCCAUGCUGAUUGUUUUCUUGUUUAAACAUAGUAUGGUGUUAAAGGUGUGGGGACCGCUAUAGCAAUAGCUAUUUCAUUAAUUUUCAUCCUCAGAGGUCCCUUAGCAACUUCAGCUGAGGCAUGUCAUAUAAUUAUUAGCUAGCUGUUACACUAUGAUAUACACCUUACCAUCACACAGAACUUUCUUCCAACAUAUUCAGAAGAUUGUAAGCCACUUGCUACAUUAAAUCUUAGAGCAGAACACAUACAAUAUUGUAGCUUAGUUUAUGUUCUGUUGCCUCUUAAGCAGGGCCCGAGUUAGGGGGUCCAUCGAAAUUAUUCUGUAUAUACAAAGUCUACAUUGUUUUUCUGAUGUAUAUAUAGUAGAUGUGAAUCUCCUGAAAGUUCUUCUUGUAUUUACUUCGUUAUAUUUUAUUUGAAAAUUCUGGCUCUGCCACUGCUCUCAAGCUUUGGCAUGGCCUUUUGUCCGUUCCUACAGAUCUUUUACAUCCUUGUGAUCUGCCAGAAUAUAGAUAACUUUCAAAUUCCAAAUAUUUCGGUUUUUUAUUCUUGACAUGUAAGCUGAUUGUCUUCUUCUUUCUUAUUAGGACAGUGUAUGCGUUAUUUCAUAACUUCUCUUACAACUUUUCACUAUUAUCAAAUUUUCUGUUGCAGGCUGAUUUUUGAUGUUUCUAGUGAUGUUGAAGUAGGAGCGGCCAGUUUUGCUCUUCAAAAGGUAUGAAUAAUGUAGCACCUAAAUUUUCUGUGUUCUUCUAUCUUUGAUAUAUUGAUCCCUUCGUAAGUUAUUGAACGACUCAAGCUAUCUAAAGCAGUAUUCAUGCCAGUGAAUGGUUUAGUCUACAUGUAGCUUAAAAAUCACUAUCAAAGCUAUUUUAAUAUAUUGUAGGAGGUCGUGCGCGUUAUAUUUGAGUUAGUUAUCUUGAUUGUUAUGGACAAGUACUAUAGUUAUCUUUUAGGUGAUCUGUCUUGUUUUAUGUCAGUUAAUCCCACUAUAGUUCUCCACCUUAUAUACAAUGAAAAUGUAACGAAUGAAUGUUUACUAGAGUACUAAUGUGGUUGGUUGGGUGGGAACUCUACUACCCAAAUCUAUCGCACCAAGCCUUUGGCUGGGUGUGUAUAUUUUGUGUGGCAGAAGUGGAAUAAUAGGGUGUCAUGCUAAGGAUUAUACUGUAAUGCCCCGAGAGUACACUCUGGGUGUCACAUGAUACUUACGACCCCAAAGGACCACAAGCUAACCCAUGACUGGUACCUGCUAUGAGCAUUGAUUAUAAUAAUGGAACAUAUCUGCUGAAGAAAUUUGAAAAUGCCAUACGGUUCUCAGAAUACUAAAAUAAUAACUGAGUAUAACUGGUAAUAACAUUUGAAAACUGAAUAACUGACAAUGCUAGUCUGAAAGCCUCUAACUAUCUAAAUAUGGAGUAAAUGGGACAAACCCCCAACUAACUCUGACUGAAAUAACUACUGAACUAUUGGAAUACUAAAAUAGAUAAACUCUAUCCUCAAAAUAUGAGGACUCACAACUAUAACUGCUGCUGAUAGCCUGAUCUGCUAAGUACGGUCAGGAACCUGACCGUCCGAACCUAUGAUAUGAGGCAUCAUAGCGCAAAAGAGAGAGUAUGCAUCGGUAUGUGGAAUGUACUGGUAUACUAAGUGAGGUAAGGCUGAUAUACAUGGGUUCAUAUGCAUGAGAUGAUAACUGACUGAAUGAACAUCAUGAAGUAACUGAAUAAGAGUACAUGCAAAACUAUAAUUACUGAACAUGCAAUACUGCGCAUAUAGGUAAACAUCGUGUAUCUGAGCUUAUACUAAAACUGAGUACUAAUUUCUGAUGGUUGAGUAACUGAUAAUUGAUAGCCAUGGUUCAGUAGAACUGACUGAGUUCUUUAUUGAAUACUAAGACUGAAACUGUAAUUGUGGGAGUAUUCAUCUAACCGACAUACCCAAUAUAGACUGGUUUGGGGUCCAACCUAUGACCCCAGUUGGAAGGGUGUUAGCACCUUGCCACGGGUUACUAACAAUGUUAUGUCAACUCUAAUCUGGCAGGAAAACCAUGAAAUAUAUAUGAUUGCAUCAACCCUAGUCUGGCAUGAAGACAAGUUACCCUACGUUGGCUACGUAGUUCUGUAACUCAUGGAUUGCUACUAAGGACCAAGCCCUAACUGGCAGGAAUGCCCCCAACCCUAAGUUCGCUCGGUGCUGAAUCGUACUCCUAAUUGAAAGACACUGAUCACUACACUGUACUAAGUUUGACUGGACUGACCCUGAUUGUGUUGACUGACUGAACUGGUCUGAGUUCACUGAGUUCUGUUAACUGAGUGAGUCCUACUGAUCUUGACCUUUUACUGAGACUAUUCUAUAACUACUGCAACUAAGUAAACAACUAAAUUUCAGGUAACAAAUACCCCCAGGACUCGAUAGCAUAAUGGAGAAACUCAUUAGAACUUUAGCAACACAAAAAUAGGUUACUAUGCAUAAUUUACUCAUAUGGACAUUUUAUCAAACACUAGGGGAGCAUGAUUGCUAUACAUGAUGACUAACCAGAUAGAGUAUCAUAACUACAACAUGCAACUAGCAAAUUCAAGGGUUUUGACAUGAGAGAUUCAUAAUCUAACACACAUGCUAACUUAAUUUCAUGGAACUCAUAAAAGAUCUUAACUUGAAACCCAUACAACAACACAAACAUGAACAUAAUUUAAUUCAUAACAUGGGAAUCAUAAUUCAAGUUUUGAAAAGGGUUCUUAAACUCCAAGGGCGGAAGGAAACCCAAGGAUAAACACCUAACAUAUACUUGAGUGACGAAAUUAGUGAAGAUUGUUGGGUAUUUCUUGAAACUUGAUCUUGAGCUUGAUGAACUAGGGUUUAUUUUUUGAGAGGAUUUUGAUAAUGAGUGAAUGUAUUUUGUCUAUUGAGGGUCUGAAUUUCGUGAUAUGGGGGUCUAAUGUGGGAAGAAAAUGACUUAAUUACCCCCACAAACCCGUAACUUAAUACAAAAUCUCUGCCCAGCGAUGCAAUGACCGAUGCGCCGCAUCAAUGAUGUAGAUGCGAUUGCCGACGUGCCGCAUCGAUGCUGUCGACGUGAUAGCCAACGCGAUGCGUCAAGAUCGCAUUGGUUUGCUGUUUUGGUCAUCUAAACGUGACUCUAACAAUGUCCAAGAAAUUUGAAACUCACCCAAGAUGACCUAUUGACAUCCCUGAUCAUGAAUCAACUUAAAAAUUGAUAUUCUAAGGUCGUAAGGAUAAAAAAUAAGAUCAUCCAAUUACAAAGGUUAAAAAUGCUUCUAAGUCUUAACACUCAGUUGAAUUUUUUUUAAGUCUGAGACCCCUUAUUACAAGCUUUAUGAGACUGAAUUAAACUAGAGCUUUUGUGGGGUCUUACAGAUACAAGGAGAGUACAACUACUAACAAGGGAGAUAGGUAAUAUCACAGUAUGUUGUCAAACACAACGAAAAUUGAGACCACCUGAACUAUUCAUCCCCCAAACUAUACAAACGAGACAUAAUAGAGAGAACUCAUUACAGCAAAAUGAGAAAUGUAAUAAGAGGCGCACAACUACAGAGUUAUAUCAAAGGUAAUAAGAAACAGAAGCUUAUGAAUCAAAUAGAAUGCUAAUAUCAAAGUUAAAAAGAAAAGAAAAAGAAUAAAAGGUGCUAAGCUAGUCACUGUCACGUGCUGUCAGCACUCCUGGGAGCACCAGUGGUUGAUUUGAAUUUUGAAAAGUCGACUAGGUCCCCGGAUAAUUUGUCUUAUGGUUUUGAUGGCUUUCCAGAUGGCAUAUACGAAGGAGUGGAAACUAGAUAAGAAGAACCAUUAUUUGUCAUAGAGAACCCAGACGUUCCUUGGGCUAGGAACUAAGUAUUUUGUUGUUGAGGGUUACCAUAAUCAUAACUGACCAUUUGGUUAACAUACAUUUGUUGGGAAUACAUAUAAGCCAUAUGACCAGAAGGCAUUUGUUGUGGAUAUAAACCCGUUGGCUGUUCACGUUGGAAUUGUUGAGGAUGCAAGCCUUCCAUCUGAUUGCUUUGCAUGGUCUAAUUAUUCAUCAUAGCAGGUUGUCCAGUAGUAUUUGGCUGAUAUAUGUCGUGGAGGUAUGUACCGCCCACUAGUUGUUGGGCAUUUGCUGCAACCAGCUGAUUAUUUUGCAUUGACAUAGCAUGUGGACUUCCAGGCAUCACCUGAUUAUUAAGCAUAGGCUGAGCACUAUACUACUUUUAUGCUCACAAGUCAAAUAUUAACUAUUAAAUUUCAAAUCAUGUAACCCAAAUACAACUGCUAUGAAUCAAUUUUACAUAUGAGCCAAAAAUUGGGUUUAAUAGGAAGAUUAUGAUGAUAUUGUCUGAAGAACCGGUUUUCUAUUUUGGUUAAACUCAAAUAUCGAUGAUGUUUUUAGUUGUACGCAGAUAUAAAUAUUUUAUAACAAGGACUGAAAAUUUAUCUGAUUGAUUUUUAUACUUUACAUUUUUAUGUAGCCAAGUGAUGCGGCUAGUUGACCUAUUUUGUCCAUGGAUGCAAAGAGACCAUAUGAUGAUAGUAAUCCUAAUGACGGCCAUUGAUUUCGUUACAGAUUGUCUUGGAUAUUCAAUUAAGAUGAUGUAACAGUGUGGUUGGAGCGAAUCUUAAAAUAUUGAAGGUCUUGUGUUUAAAUUUGAUUUUGGAGUUCGAAGAUACUAGUUUAUGUUGAAAAUUUGGAGUUUGAAGAUGCUAAUGUUGAAAAUUUAAUUUUGAAGUUUAAUGUUCAAUGCAUUUUUGAAAUGCUUGUCACUUACAAUGUCUAAUUAGUCAUAUUGUGUUAAUAUAUGAAUUGAAUCAAUAUUGGAUUGUAGAUUAUGUCUAAAGGAACAAUUAAAUUUCAGCUAAAAUUAGAAUUUAUAAUUUGUUAUUGAAAAUUGAUGGGUCCCACUAAAUUUUAAAAAAAAGUUCGGAGGUUUUAAACCGCCUCAAUUUGUAAAUAAAAAUUUAUUAUAAAAGAAUUAAAUUUAGAGUAACGGAGGUCAACCGUCGCAAAAUAAUCUCCACAAAUCAAAUAUGACGAUCGAAAAAAAUUGUCGCAAAUUGUUUGUGACGGUUCGUAUUGUGGGGGUUUUGGGAACCGCCGAAAUCGCAAUUUGCGGGGGUUUAAAACCCCACAAACCUUAAAAUUAACCCCCGCAAUUUCACCCUCUUUUUGUAAUGAACAAUUACUUGUCACUUGAUAGAUAGUAAUUUUGUUAUGCAAAAACGCAUUCUAGCAUUUUUGUAUGAUGAAGAUCAUAGACACAUUGAAAGAUUUAUUUCUGAAUCUAUUUCUAAAGUAGCAAAAUAUUAUGGUAUUAAAAGAAAAGUUAUAUGUAUAGCUUUUGAUAAUGCAUCUAACAACAAUGCUGCUGAUGAGUUGCUAAAAGUUGAACUUUCUCCGCCGUUAUCCAAAAUAUUUCAUGUUAAAUGUACUUGUCAUAUAUAUAAUUUAAUCGUAAGAGAUGGUCCUAAUUUUUUUGAGCUUUCUAUUGAAAAAGUCAGGCUUGAUGUUAACUUUAUUCAAUGAAAUAAUCAAAAAGCUUGAGUGAGAGAAUUUAAAACCAAAUGUGAACAUAAUGGACUUAGACCGAUAUUUAUGCCUGAAGAAUGUGAUACUAGAUGGAAUGCUACUUAUACUUAUUUAAAAACUUGUCUUGCUUAUAAAGUUCCUAUUAUAAUGACUUUUAAUCAUUAUUCUGGUUCUUUUUCUGACUGUAUGCUACAUGAUUCUGAUUGGGCUGCAAUUGAUGAUCUUGUUUAAUUUUUGGAAAAGUUUAUAUAGCUACGAUUGAAUUCUCUUGUGCUUAUUAUCCUACUGUUUGUAAUAUUUUAGCUUAUUUAGCCGACAUUUCUUGUUUGCUUAACGAAUAUAAGAAUAAACAAGGUUACAAAGAAGUUAUUACUACUAUGAUUGCUAAAUUUUAAAAAUAUCUUUAUCUGUUUUCCUCAAUUUAUUUGAUUAGUGCUACAAUAAAUCCAUGUAUGAAAUAUAAUACUAUGUCUGAAUUUAGUUCUAUUAUUUAUAAUGAUUUAGAGAUACAGCCUGAAAAAGAACCUUCUUUGUUUACGGCUAUGAAUGAUGCGAACAAUUACAUGCAAGCAUUAUAUAACCAUUAUACCGAUUUACUUGAUGAAGCCGUACCGACAAAUAUCACUCCAACUGUCGUUCCUCAAACUCGAUCCCCAGGAGUCACCAUCUUCUAAAAGGCAGACACAUAGUAGUUAUCCUGAUUACUUUUUUGAUUUAAAUGUUUGGAACAGGGUGCAACCUUCAUCACACAAAACAAAUUCUCAAGAAGAGCUUAAGUAUUUUCCUUGACAGCCGAUAGAGGAUCGUAGAGCAAGGAUCUGCGCACUGAAUUAUUGGAAGAAUAAUGAAAGACAAUAUCCAGUGCUUUCAAGAAUAGCUAGAGAUAUAUUGAAUUUUCCAAUGUCAACUGCUGCAUUGGAGCACGCUUUUAGUCACGACGACAAAAGCUUGGAGACAACUGACACUCCUUGGGAAGCAAUGCUAUGAAUGUUCUAGUUUGCCUUAGAGAUUGAAUUAGAGCGGAACAAAGAAAUCAAGGAAUGGAGGAUGAGCCGAAAUACGAACAAAAUCUUGAAGAAAUUAUGACUUCAAGAGAGAACUCAACACAAUCAAGUCCAAUGCAUGAUUUAGCCUUUGCCCUCGAUGAUUUUGAGUUUUCUAUGGCAGUUCCCGUUAAUAUUACCAUGCAUGAGUUGAAAAAAAUGAUGCAAAAUUUGUAGAUUUUUCAUUCAUGUAAAUUAUAAGUUUUGGAUCAUUUUGCAAUCAAUAAAUACAAUACUCAUUCACUCCUUACUUAUUUUUUUAAUUUAAAUUGAAUGUCUAGUUUGAAUUAAAUACUUUUAAUAUAUUACUAAUUUACUAUCAAACUUUACACUAAGUGUUAAACAUAACAAACAUAUAUACAUAUAAUUAAAAAAUAAAAAUAUAUUAGCAAAUAUUACUUAGACAAAUAGUAUUGACAUAUAAAAAUACUAUAAGUUUAUCUUUUAAGUGUUGUAUGUAAAAUGGUAAAUUUUUGAAUGUAUGUUCAAAAACUUCAAGUAUCAUUAUAUUAAGUAGUAUAUAUUGUAAUAUUGUAUGUAUAUAUGCGUGUAUAUUUUUUAAAGUACUAUAACAUGUAAUGUAUAUAGCUUUCAACUUUCAAGUGGUAUUUUAAGUAGUAUAUAUUCUACAUAGAUGUGUAUAUUUUUUCUAUAGUAUUAUAUAUAUAGUGUAUAUAUGUAGUAUAUAUAUUGUUUCAAAUAGUAUUUUAAGUAGUGUUUAUAUAUAUAUACAUACAUAUAUAUCUAUAUAUAUAUUAUAUUGUAUGUAUAUAUGUAUAUAUAUUUUCUAUAAACUCUAUAGUAGUAUAUAUUUAAUGUAUAUAUGUGUACAUGUUUUAUAAAGUAGUAUAUGUAUAGUGUAUAUUUGUUGUAUGUAUAUUGUUUCAAGUAGUAUUUUAAGUAGUAUAUAUAUUAUAUUGUACGUAGGGGUGACAAUUUCAGCCCAUAUUUGUAAAAAGAAUCUAUUUAACCCAUAUUUAGUGAAUUGGAUCACUCAUAUUUCUAAUGGGUAAAUAUGAACUUCAACUCAUUUUAAAAGCUCAUACAAAUAUGAACAAAAUGGGUAAAAUAUGGGUACCCAUUUAAACACAGAGAUCACCCACCUAUGCUUAAAGUUCCAGUUUUUUUUUCUUUUCUAGUUUCUUUUCUUCUUCUUGUUUUCUUUCUUUUUUCCUUUGAUUUACUUUUUUUCUUUUUCAUUUUUUUUUAUUUUUUUACUCAUUACUUAUAAUUUCUUUUUUUCUUUCUCAUUUUUUCAUCUAUUUUUUUAUUUUUAUUUCUUUUUUCUUUGUAUUCUUUUUUUUUUCCGCUUUUCCUUUUCUCAUUCUUAUUUCAUCAUUCGUAUUCAUUUGAGACCUACAUGGGUUAAUAAAUAUAAGCUUCUAAUUAUCCCAUUUAGCCUAUAUAAUUCAUAACAUCUCUUAUCAAUUAAAUAUAAUCCAUAGUGUCACUCCUUUAUUAUUAUUUUUUUUACCUUUUAUUUCUUUUUCUUUUUUUUUUCUUUCUUUUUUCCUUUAAUUUAAUAUUUCUUUCUUUCUUUUUUCCUUUAAUUUAAUUUUAUUUUAUUUUUCAUUUUUUCCACUUAUUUUUACUCGUUUCUUACACUUUUUUUUCUUUCUUCUUUUUCAUCAUUUUUUUUAUUUUUCAAUUUUAUUUUUUUGCAUUUUUUUUUGUAUUUUCGUUUCCCCCUUUUUCAUUCUUGGUUCGUCAUUUUAUCUUUUUUCUUAUUUUUUUAUAUUCUUUUUCUCAUCUUUUUUUUGUCAUUGCAUUUUAUAUUUUUUUACUUUAAAUUUAUUUGUAUCAUACAAUAUAUUUCAAAUAAAUUUAUUAUUUGUAUUUGAAUAGUUUAGUUGUCAAUAUGUGCAAUUUAUCAUUUGUAUUUAUAUACAAAUAAGUAUAUGAAUUAAAAUCAACAUGAGCUGUGCUACAGUGGAUGGAGCUGCUCCACCCUUAACCAGAGGUCGAGGGUACGACCCUGGUUAUGGAGAAAACUCUGUUGGGAGCGCUGCCACCUUAAUGGGCCCUGCAACACCCGAUCCGAAUUAGUCGGGGCUCCAAUGCUGACAUCGGACACCGAAAACCGGAUGAAAAAUCAAAAAAAGUAUAUGAAUUAAUUGUAUUUUUUUUAGACUAAAAUAUAUAUGACUGAGGAUCCACAUAGCCCUCAAACUAUAAAUGUUGGACGAAUAUAAAUCAAUAUGCGCUUAUGGUAUUUUCGUUGUCAUAAUAAAAAGAAGGAAACCAAAAAUAGAAAAAAAAAUAGAAAAAGAGGUAGAAGUUAGAAAUAGAAGAGAGAAAAAAUUGUAAAGAAAGAAUUGAAAAAAAAAUACAAAAAAAAAUCAAAAAGAAAAAAUAAUGAAAAAGGAAAAAAGGAAAAAGAAAAAAGAUGAUGGUGAAAAUAAAUAUACUGAGUGGUUACGAUAUUUUAGUCAUCAUCCAUAAUUUGUACUCGACUUAACCAUGUUCUUUGAAAAUAAAAAAAAAUAUAAAACAUAAAAUACAACCAAAAAACAAAAAAAUGAGAAAGAAGUAAAAAUAAAAAAUAGAAAAAAAGGAGACUAAAAAGGAAAAGAAAAAAAAAAAGAAAAAAGAAAGAGAAACAAAGAAAUGACAAAAAAAUGGCAAAAGAGAAAAAAAAAAUUAGAGGCUACAUAUAGAAGAGAGAUAAAAAAAUCUAAAAAGAAAAAACUAAAAAAAAAUGAAAAAAAAGUCAAAUUGAUAUGAUAUAGAAGUUUUAAGUUUUUGACUUAGGAUUUAAAGUGGGUUGAAACCAUUUUUACCCAAUUCAUAUUUGACCAAAUCCAUAUUUACCCAUAUUUAUAUGGGCGGAUUGCAAUCCAAACCAUUUUUGCUCGAUCCAUACUUAACCCGUCCAAAUUCAAUCCAAUCCGCCUGUUUGCCACCCCUAAUUGUACGUAUAUAUGUGUGUAUAUAUUUUCUAUAGACUCUAAAGUAGUAUAUAUUUAAUGUAUACAUGUGUAUAUAGUCUAAAAUAGUGUAUAUAUGUAGUAUUUAUAUUGUUUCAAGUAGUAUUUUAAGUAGUAUAUAUAUUAUAUUAUACGUAUAUAUGUGUAUAUAUUUUCUAUAGACUCUAAAGUAGUAUAUAUUUAAUGUAUACAUGCGUAUAUGUUUUCAAAAAUCUAAAGUAGUAUAAUAUGUAAUGUAUAUAUGUUGUAAGUUUAUUGUAUAAUGUAUUUAAAAUGUAUAUAAGUGUGAAUAUAUAGUAUAUAUUGGAAAAAACAUGUAAUUUCUAGUUUUAAUUUUUUUUUUUUACAUUUUGAUCGAUUUUGACCUGUUAAAAUCGGUUUAAAGCUAAGUGGGCCGAUCACGGGUUGAUUGGCAGAUUUUACUGUUGGGCCCGAACCGAACCAACCAUUAAGCUUGACCCAGGACCGGACUGACCCAAAAUCCGGUAAGAAAAAUUGGGCCGAUGUCAAUUUGAACAGGACCAGCCCGGUUAACAGGGUCAAGCUGUUGUCUUAGCCGCCGUAACCGCUAACUUAGCUUUUCUUCUAGCUACCUUAUACUCCUCCUUAUUCGUCUACCUCACCUCAUCAUCUUUGGUCUCAACCAACUUAGCAUAAGUCACCUUCCUCUUAACCUCUUCGUUCCACCUCCAGUCCCCUCGAUGCUUGCCAGAUCGACCUCUCGAGAUACCCAACACCUCUCUAGCGGUCUCCUUAAUUCAACUGACAGUCGUCUCCCACAUACUACCCAUAUUUCCUCUACUCUCCUAAGACCCUCUAUUCUUUAACUUCUCCUCCAUCUCCAAAGCACUAGCCAAAGUCAAGCUAGCCCACUCAAUCCUGGACCGAGCCUCCACACUCCUCUUCUUUCUUCCCUUAUUGAUUACCAAGUCCAUCACCAAUAACCUAUAUUGAGCCAAGAAAUUCUCGCUAGGUAUGACUUUACAGUCUUUACAUAGCACUCUAUCACCCUUCUAAAGGAGCAAAAAGUCUAUCUAAGUAUUGGCAACUGAACUAUGAAAAGUAAUAAUAAGGUGCUCCUUCUUCUUCGAAAAACUCGAAUUUGCUAUCCACAACCCAAAAGCCCUAGAAAAAUCCAAAAGAGAAGCUCCUCCUUCAUUCCUCUCCCCAAAAUCGAAAUCGCCAUACGUAUCAUCAUAACCUCUCGACAAAGACCUAAUAUGCCCAUUAAAAUCACCUCUCACAAAAAGCUUCUCAGUGCACGGGACGCCCCUCACUGCCUCAUCCAAAACCUCCCAAAAUCCCUUCCUUUUCUCCUCGUCCAAACCUACUUACGGAGCAUAGGCACUAAUAACGUUCAUUGUAGACCCUUCAAUGAUCAACUUAAUAGACAUCAACCUAUCACUGAUUCUCUUAACCUUCACCACUUGCUCCCUAAGUUCUUCAUCUACUAAGAUACCUACCACAUUUCUAUGUCUCAUGCUACCCGAGUACCAUAACUUAUAUCGAUCCACAUCUCUUGCCUUAGUGCCUAUCCAUUUAGUUUCCUAGACAUACGCUAUACUAACCCUCCCCUUUCUAAGAAUAUUUAUCAAUUCUAUAGACUUACCUUGAAGUGUCCCUAUGUUCCAGGACCCAAUGCAAGCACCCUUAUCUCACCUAGCCCUACUCCCCUUCGCCCCAACCCCGAACUCGAACCUAAACCCGACCCCAGCCCCGAUUCCAAUCUAUGACAUGAACCUAAUCCACCAUCUAUCCACCUAGCCACCAUUGAAAAGGAUAUGAUAGAAGAAAAUGAAGAAAAAAAGGAGACAAAAAACACGAUGUACAAAGGGUACGACUAAAAACAGCUAAAUAAGCAAACAAAAACCAGCAAGCAGGCUUGACACUUCGAAGCAACAACAAGCACUAUACUACCCACCAUAGGUAUGCUAAUAAAGAACAACUACUAAGUUACGGAGAAUGAAACCAGUAAUCCCAUAGGAACAAUCAAGAAAACCAGACAAGACAGCAAGAUAGAAAAAGAGACAAAAAGCCUAUACCAAAUAAAGUAGGGAGGAAUAAACAAGAGAAGAAUGAAACGAGUGCACCUGAUAUUGGGAGAAGACGCAGUGAAGGACGUUUUCUUGAUUGUUUUGUCGAAUUCCGAUAAAUUAGUGCCGAAAUUAGUCACCGAAAUUUGCUGCCUUUACCCUACUGCUGGUACUGUGUCCCUAUAAUUGGUCACCGACGAAUGUGUUGGUCGCCGGAAAAUGAGCUGGUCAUCGAAAUCUUGAUGUCGUCGCUUGAAGUACCGGAUCUGGGCUUGUAGUACCUACAAAAAGGUUAUAAAGAAAAAGGAACAAAGCUGAAAUACUCGCCAGAAACCGAUGUCACUCACCGAAAAUUGAUGUUCGUCCGUGAAACUUCGGCGUUGGCUUGGUGCGUCGACUGUGACACUGGUUCUUCAUCGGUGUUUGAGGAGAUGGAAGUGGACAGGGGUUGUAACUGUUGGUUUCUCCGGCAGUGGCCGACGUUACGGAUAUCGGUGAGGAUGGUGCUCUACCGACGAGGGUGAGAGUAGUGCAGUCUCACCGGUGAGAAAGUGAGGGUGUCGGCUGGUUUUGUGACUGGUGGGCUGUUCAGGGUGGUCGCUUGUGGUUGGCGGCGGUUGGCGAGUGAGAUCCAAGAAGGACGAAAACAAGAGUUCAAGGACGAAAAUCUUCCGUGAAUUCUUUAAAGAAUCAUUAAAACUCGAAAAUUGAGGAGUCUUCCUUUUCUUCGUUUCAUAUUAGUCUCUCUGCUUCAAAAUUUUGGCACUUUCCCUGCAUAUGCUUAUUCUUUUUUCCUCGAUAAAAUUUAUUCCUUUUAAUUUUUAUAUCAAUACAUCCUUGAAUUGAGUUUUAUUCCUUUAUACAGGCUGAUGAUUAUUUAGUGUUAAUGAGUUUUGUACGCUUUGUUUCAUGAAUAAUUUAGGAGUUAAUCUAUUCUGUUCAAUUUAGUGUUUUUGUUUAAUCUAUUUCGUUCAAUUUAGUGUUUUUGUACGCUUUGUCUCUAUUUCAGUGUUUUGAAGUUAAAAAUUUAGAUUUUUCAUCGACAUCACUUUUCUUUCUAUUCGUCAAUAAGUUCUUCCUGUGGUUUAAUAUUCAUUUCUUUGUUUUGAAUAACUUCUUGUUGUUGAUUUUCAUAUGCUUAAACUUUUAAUAGUAUUAGAGUAAAUAUUCAAUACUAAGGACUCAUUUGAUUAUGAAUAUUAUUCAUUUUCUUUCAAAAAUUUAUUUCACUUUAUUUGAAACAUAGUGUUUGACCAUUAAAAUUUCUAAUACAAGUUGAAUUUGAAAUUUGAAAAACAGCCAAAAUUUUUGUAUUCAUUUUUUUACUUUUUAAUUUAAAAUUUUCAAAAAAAUAUAAUUUUUUUAUUUUCAUAAAUAGUCCCAUUUAAAUUAUAUUCCAUCUUUAAAUUAUAUUUUGUAUUUUUAAAAAAAUACAUUUGAAUUCUAAAAAUUAGGUGUAAACAGUAUAGUCAAAAUACAACUCCAUCUCUAACUUUACAAAUUUUAAAUAAUAUAUAUAUAUAUAUAUAUAUUUUAAUUUUCAUUGUCAAAUGCCUACUAUAAGUAUUCUUUCUAUAGUUUUCAUUUCAGAGUUUGGGUCUAUAUUUCUUUGAAAAUUCAAAGGUUUUAGAGCUACAUUUUUUAUAAAUGUCAGCAUUGAGGAUUCAAUAAUGGAUAACAGGGGAGGAUAACGAUGUGAUCACAAAUUUUUUAGUUGAGGAAAAUUCAACUAGGGGGCUAUUUUACAAGGUGUUAAAGAUGAUGUAACUGUUUAUGAAGAGGAGGAGGAGUUUAAUAAUCUAGACUAUAAUUUGUAUAAUGAAGAUAAUGAUUUUCAGGAUGUUUUUGAUGAUGAAUAAGUUUUUAUUGAUUAUCAAGAAAUUAAAAAAUAGUUCAACAUUUGUUGAUGAUCAAUUUAUGGAUGUAGUGGUAUAAAAAUAAAAAAGAACAAAUUUUUUAAUGUGAGGUUCAUGUUUAAAUGGCAUGAAAUUUAUUUUGCCAUGUUUUUUUCUUUAAAUAAUAAAUGUAGUUGAGUGAUUUUAAAAAUAAAAAUCUUAAGUUGAGUAAUAUAUUUGAUCGAAAGCAAAGGUCAAUGACUUUGCUAGAUAAUUUUCAAUAAUUCAAUAACCUUUUAAGAUAUUAACUUAACUAUUUUUAGUAUAAACACCAUGUAAUUUGAAGCGGAGAGAGUAAAUCUUUUAUCUUUUAAGAGAAUUCAACAUAAGUCAUAUUCCUCCUUUUUAAUUUGAUUGUCUUAUUUUGACAUAAUACGAAAUUUAAUAAAGUAAAGUAUAUUUUUGAAUCUUGUAAUUUUAAUAAAAGAUAUGUAGAAUGUACAUAUAAAUUGUCUUUAAUCAUGUGAGUUUUAAUCAUGAUACGUAUAAAAUUAAAAUUAAGGAAUUAUAAUAAAGGAAAAUAAAUAUUCUUCUUAGACAAAAUUUUUAAAAGAAAAUGAAACGAUAAACUUAACCUGUCCGUAAGUUAUAAAUUUCCACAAGAGGGGUGCCAAUUGUCUCCCCUUAAAUAAGCGAAACUUUGCCGUAUUGGUGAAGAAUCCAAUCACACAAAAAUGAAGGAUACAUAGUCCUUUAGCCUUUCAUUGUUUUUUUUUUUCUUUCGAAAAUCUAAUAUGUUAAAACUCUAUUCUUUUAAUAUGUGCCUAGUUUCUGAAAUAUUAUAUUCUAUAUGGAACUGAGUCUUUGUCAUAGUUCAAUUGGUGUGGAAAAUUCGAGAGUUAAUGAGACUUAAUUUCUGUGACCUCUGUUUUUUGCUAAUAUAAUAGGUGGUGGUAAAAUUGACUUUUGUAUAGGCAUGUAUUUUUUCUUAUUGAAGAUAUUUUGUUAGCUUUUUUGUUUAGCGGAAACUUUCUAUUUUCCAGUAAACUAAAUUUAAAAUGCAUGCGUAAUGAUAGCACAUAUAUUUUUAAAGCGCUAAUUGUAGUGAAUUCGCCUGGUGUAAAUUGACAUGAAUUAUUAUGUAAGUGAGGUGACAAUUCUUGUGAUUAUUGAAAAAAAAAGGAGUAACAUCAAAUUAUUUGGAUGCAAAUUCUAUACGAGGGCUUUCAACAAAAAAUUUGUACACUGCAAUGACCUUCAUCAAUCAAUUUGGACGUGUAUUAUUGAAGAUUAGUUUUCCUUUGAGAUGUUGUUAGGCUGAGGCUGUGAUUGCUCCUUUCCAUGUGCAGAUAUCAUAUCAUUUGAUACACCAUGUACAUUAGCCACAACCCUUUUUCUUUUUGAAUUUUGAAAAUGUUGAAAGUUUGGACUAUUAUACUGCUUGUAGUUCUGAUUGUAUGACUUAGAAACUUGGAAAAUGUUGAAAGUUUCGACUAUUAUUCUGCUUGUAGUUCUGAUUGUAUGACUUAGAAACUUGGUUAGUGUUGAUUUGAGGAUACCCAUGCAACUUAUAACACCUCACCUUGGUGUGACCUGGCCUCUUGCAGAAGUCACAAAUAAUACUAUUUAUGCUAUUGCUGCUUUCAAAUAAUAAUUUCCUCCUCCAACAUUCCCUCCUGAAAAGCUACUGUUGCUGUCAUAAUUGUUACUACCACCUGAAUAGCCAACUUUCCCUGCAUAAAUGUUAGAAAAAUUUAUUCGAAAGAUCUGUCAGCAGAAUUCUUUCUAGUAUAUUGUAUGUAUUGACAUUCAUGGAUGUUGAUUCCAAUGCUAUACGACCAGUAGGCUUAAAACUUUCUUUGUUUUUCCUCCCUUAUUAGUAAAGAAAUGGCUUGUGACAUGGAAGGAAGUGGAUUCAUCAUGAGAAUAAUUCGUCGCAUAACUGUAUAUACUUCGUUUAAUCCCAUCAGAAAUUCAAUUAGGCCGUCUGUCCUGUUCUGCUUUGUGGACACCUUCCUUAGCACCACAAGUAAAUUCACAACUGCAUUGCAUGGGCGGAGCUACCUUCGCCAAAGGGUGGUCAGAUGCACAUCCUUCGCUGGAAAAUUAUAUAGUGAAUAGAGGUUAAAUGUUAAUCGUAAUGAGUGUAUAUUCAAUUUUGCACACUCUUAACUUAGUUGAGGAUAAAAUUUGCACACCCUUCACUAUAUUCCUGGCACCGCCACUGCUGCAUUGGUCCUUCGAACUCAAAGUAUUCAAUUAUUCCCACAACUUUUUCAUCCUAAUAUGAUACACAGUAAUAUCUAAGAUUCUCGGGAUAAUUUGCAAAAUAGACACUUUCAAAACUUAUUUUGGCAUUUAGGCACAAGUCUUGGAAAAUUAGGUGUUUAGACACUAAAAUGAUAUCAUCACUUCUUACAUACAAACCUACCACACAAGUUUUAAACUUUACACUUUAGUCCCCCACCUCAUCCAUUUAAUAUUUAAUAUUUCCCACCUUUUUUUAUAUUUCCACCAUUUUUUCAUAUUUUCUAUUUUAAUUUUAAAAAUUAUCCAAGAAGCCACCAAUAGGAGCUCCAUUUUUCACCAAUAAUUUUCGAUUCCGGCCACUUUUCCGAUGAAAAGUGGCCCAUCACAACUGAAAAUCUUCAUUCUUGAUCAUUGCCUUCAUUGUUGUUCCAUCCUCUCACCAUUUCUACUAGCUCGAAAAGCUUUCCAAAUCCACUCAAUACUUCGUCAUUAGAUAUACUUCAGUAGUUUAGAAGUCCUACAUAUACAUUUGUUCGUCCUAGAGCUAGGAGGGCAUUAAUUAUAUCCAAAAUCUGUCGAUUCGCUUCUUUGUACGAACGUUUUGAUACCAGUGAUCGACCAGUGAUCGAUCAGCUAUAGACCGAUACCUUAAUCUAUUAUUGAUUUGUGUGGUCUAUUAUUGCUGUAGCUGAGUAGUUAUCGUGGGUGGUAAUUAUAUCGGUGCGUGAGAGAAGGGUCCCAACUAUUGGAAGUGGAAAUCAUCUAGCAAGGAGACAGCUCUCAUCCUGCUGCGUCACAAUGAAUCGUACAACGACAUGGUUCAAAGCGUAAUUGAGAGUGGAGAAUUAGAAUGCGAGCCAAAGAACGUUGUGAUUAGCUAUGUAAUGAAUGAGUCGGGUAAAAUACAUCCCACGUUCAUAAAUAAUGAUCGGCAUGUGUUGUUAUACAUGUUGGAUGUCGCUGUCGAUCGCUCUAGGCCAUUAUUGAUGAUAAAUGUCGUCCCGGGGUCUCCGACAAUCCUGUCAUCACAACCGACAAUCGACGAACAUGAUUUAUUUGAAGAUGAGAGUUUGGAUGCUCAUCCAAUAGAUUCGAAAGAUCAUUCAAUGGAAUUGAAAGAUUCAAUUUUCUCUGAAGAAGCGGGAGAAGAGUGCGGAUUGAGAGCACAAACCAACCAUACCUUCUCCAACGGAACUAAUUUUCAGGUAAAUUAAAUAUUUAGCAGCAAAAAGAAGAUAAAAUUGUUGCUGGACGUAGCAGCUGUGAGAAAUUCUUUUGAUUAUGCUAUAUUGAAGAGUUGAGGCAAAUUUCUCAAGGUAAAAUGCGUUUGUCCUAGUUGAGCGUGAAUGUUGUUGGCAAAGAAGGAAGGUCCAGUAUAACCAAUACCUCCUCCUCCGUAAUAACCUAAACCAUCUCUUCUAUGGUCUAGGACAAGACAAGGAGCACUGCCACCACGAACUCCGGCGUAUCGCCUAUUUUUUAUGGGCGAUUGUGGAGCGGUUCAACAUGGAGCUCGAGGAGAUGAUCACCCCACCAUCCCCUUAGUUUAGGUUUAAAUUUUGUUGCUUUUUUUUGUUUUAAAUUCAUUGUAAUGAGAAGCUUUCAUGGUUAGGAAUAUGUUAGAUGAAAGCUUCUUUAUUUUGCUGUUUUUGCUCGUCUUUUGUUGUAGAUAUUGUUCUAUACCAUUGCAAUGAAGUAUGAAUGAAGUAUCUUUGUUUCCUAUAUUUGUUUCCUCUUUAAUUUUGCAAUUUUGUUCUUGUUUGAAUUUUUGUAAUUUUUCCUGUUAGAAGAUGAAUCAAAUGGUUGUGAGAUGUGAAAAUUGAUUCAUAUAUGAUAAUGGAAAAUGAAUCUAGUUUAUCCAGGGUUAUUUUGCUGUAAAUAUAGUGGUAAAUCAUUGCAAUGAACUUAUAAAUGAAGUAUUUUCAUAUUUCCUGCAUUUGUCUUCACUUUAAUUUUAUAAUUUUCUUUUUCUUUUUGAAUUUUUGCAAUUUACCCUGUUAGAAGAUGAACGAAACAGUUGUCAGAUAUCAAAUUAAUUCAUAUAUGCAAAUGGAAAAUGAAUCUGGUCUAUCCGCAAUUAUGUUGAUUUAUACAAAAUUAAAUGCAAAGUCGAUGUAGUUUAUUAUUUACAGAGCUCAAUAUCUAUGCGUAAACAUCUCCGUAAUUGAUGCAUUCCACUAUGAGGUCCAUCGAUUGUGUCCAGUGUAUAUCAUAGACUGUAAGCCUUAUCAAUAAUAUACCGUAUUGAUUUAUUUCCCUCAGUAGUUUCUUUGGAAAAAAGGGAAUAAUUAGUUAAUCAAAAAAUAUAUAAUUGAAUUUUAUGCUAUUAAAGGAUCUUAAACAUGUCAUGUGAUCGUAUGAGAGUCUACAGAAAUUUUACAAGGUGAUCAAGGAUGUGUGAGGAUGGACUGCAGAUGAACAAAUAAAUUCCUCACAACAUACUUGUGCUUUGGUAAACAUUGCCCUAAGGAUGUUGGUUGUUCAACCACAACUCAUCACCUCACAAAUCUUUGAUAAACACUUUUAAUUUACGUGGACUCUCAUAGGAUCACAUGACUUGUUUAGGCUCAUUCGAUUGCAUAAAAUUCAAUUACUUAUUAUUUUAUUAAUUAAAUAAUUCUUUUCAAAAUAUGUGUUAAUCACGGUCUAUAAAUAUGUGUCCUAAUCUAGUACAUUUAUUAAUGAAGUUGUACACCAUAUAUGCUAGACUAUGCUUAGUUAUGUACUCGGCCUGAUAUAGUCUAGCAUAGACUGUAAACUACUUUCACAAUUAAAUAACUAGACUAUGACAUUUAAUCAUAGACCAUGACUAGCACAUAUUUUGAGAAGGAUUAAUUAAUUAAUAGAAUAAUAAAUAAUUGGAUAUUAUGCAAUUAAAUGAGCCUAAACAAGUCAUGUUAUCGUAUGAGAGUCCACAUAAAUUGAAAGUGGUGAUCAAAGAUGUGAGGUGAUGAGUUGUGGUUGAACAAAUAAAUUCUCCACAACAUACUUGUGCUUUGGGUAAACAUUGCUCAAGCAUGUUUGUUGUUCAUCCACUACCCAUUCUCACACAUCUUUGAUCACCUUAUCCAAUUUACGUGGACUCUCAUACGAUCACAUGACUUGUUCAAGCUCUUUUAAUUGCAUAAAAUUUAAUUAUUAAUUAUUUUAUUGAUUAAAUAAUACUUCUUAAAAUAUGUGCUAGUUAUGGUCUAUGAAUAUGUAUCAUCAUCUAGUACGGUUAUUAAGGAAUUAGCUCUUAGUUUAUGCUAGAUGGUCAAUCUAUGCGGUGCAUCAUCUACCAAACGUAUGAGAAGUCAUCGAUUAUAAAUAAGGUCUAUGAAACUAGUCCAGCAGUAACAAAAAUCUAAAUAUCAAAUUGUUACAACAAUAAUAAAGUAUAUGUCAAAUCACAUCCAACGGUAAUAUCACCUUUUUCUUCUAUAAAAGGAAGGUUAUUUUUGUGUUAACACUCUUAUUUUUUUUGCUUUAAUUUUUGUUAACAACUACAAUGCCUCAAGCAUCCCAAACAUCAAGUGCAAAAGUGUCCUGCAUAUGUCGUAGUGGCAAUCUAACUAUUUUUAGGACGUCACACACCAAUUCGAAUUCAGGACAAAAGUUCUUUAACUGUGUGGUUGGAAAGGAUAAUGGCGGAUGCUCUUUUUUUAAGUGGCUUGACAAAAACUCAACGACGACCAGCCCAUCGACAUCAAAUUUUUGAGGCGCUUCUAAGUUUCAUAUACUAUAAAGGUUUCAGGAAUCUGAAGAAAAUAGAGAUCUACUCAUGACAUUGCUAAAAGAAGCUGAAGAGCAAAGGGAUUACUUGAAAGGAUCACUAAAAGAAGUCGAAGUGAGAAAGGAUCAACUAAAGCAAAUAUUGAUUUUGGCCGAGGAAAAAGAAAAAUACCUAAAAAAAUUAUUGUAUGGUUUGUUAUUGUUGUUGGCUUUCUGGAAAGGUGUAAUAGGGAUAUAUGAAACUGAAUAAAUAGAUAUAUGGUUUCUUAAAUCAAUCAUGGGUGUAAUCUAUAAUUAAUAGAGAAUUAUGUCUAUGUCUUUUCUCAUCGACCUCUAUAAACCAUGAUAGUUACUGUAAAUAUAUGAUUUACUCAAUUGAUAGUCUGUUAAGUCUAUAAAUUAUAGAGAACAACUUCUACAAUAUGUUCAAUCAACCACUAUAAAUUAGGACAAUGGCUUAACUGGUAAUGCAAAGCAGUCAACUGUUUAAUCUAAUGAGACAAUGGAAUAACUGAAAAUAAUUUCAUUAGUAAAUGUCAUCAUUGACAUGCCAAAUAUAUGUAAUUUAAUUAUCCAUAAAAAAUAAAUCACUAAAAACAACAAAUCAUUAAGAAAAUCGUUUGUUCCAAAUCCACCAAACUACUUAUUUUCUUGAUUGAGUUCCGAAACAAUGCCCAUCACAUCCACUUCUUUUUCAUAAUAUUUUUUUCCUCUUCUUCAACUUCUUUCUUCUCAUUUUCCUUCUCUUCUUCUUCUUCUUCUUCUUCUUCUUCUUCUUCUUCUUCUUCUUCUUCUUAUGAUGAUGAUGAUUUCUUCUCUUCUUCAAUGUUUUCAAACUCCUGUUCAACCACUAAUUCUUCGUCAAUUGCCUUCUCAUUUUUGUCUUCUUCUUCUUCUGAUUUCUUUUAACUACUCUAUGAACUCUUCUUUCCAUUUAUGAUCUACAAUAAAAAAUGACUCUGUAGUGGUCGAUAUAUCGACCAUUGAUCUAUUAAUAAAAAUAAAAAAUAUAGUAAAAAUAAAUCUGUGGUGGUCGAUCUAUUGACCACUGGUCUAUUAAGAAAAACGAGAAAACACCUCACAUCAAACAUAUAAAUCAAGUUCCAAAUUCACUAGAUAUUAGCAGUGCAAUUCACAACAACAAGAACACCAUUAAAAUGGGUCCAAUUUAGUAUUAAAAUUUCAAAAUCAAUACACAAUAUAAGUACAAAAAUUUAAAUUUUUCUUACUCAUUAUCCAAAGCAAAACACAAUUAAACAUGCGGAAUCGAUAAUGUUAACUAAAAACACUCAAAUUUCGACUAAUUCAAUGAAGAAAAGUGUAAUUUUUGUCAAAAUCGAAAAAAAUCCACACAAAACGUCAUAAAAAAAUUACUAAAAUGGAUCUAAAACUAAUCAGGGAAGAAAUUUAGACUUACCUGAACAAGAGAAACUGAAAAAUUUUGCCUGAGGAAGCAAGAAUCGUGCAAACUUUUUUUUUUCAUAAAAUAUAAACUAAAAUCGGGAGAUGGAAGGUUUUGAGGAGACAGAGAUGUAGUUGAAAAUAUUAAAUGAUUUUAUGAAAAAUUAAUAAAUAUAAAUGGGGACCAUGUUGUAUUUUUUUAAAAGUUGUAUUUUUUUUCCAAGUUUUAAAAAUGUUAAAGAAGUCCGUGACCCCACAACCCUGAUCCACUUUUUACCCUUUUCAUACCCUAACCCUAUAAAAUAAAUCAACAAGAAAUUUGGGGUCUAACCCUCAAAAUAAGUUUUGAAAGUGGGAAGUUAUCAAAAUUGUCUCAAAAUUCUCUGGGUCGUCAUUGAUUUCUUUUUGAAUUUGGUACAACUUAGCUCCAUUAGUGUGGCUGUACCUAUCCUCUAUUUCUCUCCACAAUUCAGCACAAUUAGUGCCAUACUGUACGUUAUUUGGUAUCUCUUUAGCUAAGGAUGUCAAUAUCCACGAGGUCACCAUAUCAUUGCACCUUUGCCACUAACAAGGUAAAUUUGCAUCAUGCUUCUCACAACUUUCAUCGAUGUAUUAGUUUUUGUCCUAAUUUUCUUACCAAAUUUGAGGUUUACAUUUUCUUAAAGAAAAAAUCAAAGUAGUAAAAGAAUUACUUUAAUUUUUCUAAAAGGAAAAUAUAUUUUUCUUCCAUAUUUGACUGACAUCUUUCUUGGAGGAAAUGUUUUGUAAUUCAAUAAACUGAAGAUCACUCUUCUCAUACCGUAACAGAAUAAUAUCCAUGAUCCAGUCUUUAAAGAGUCUUGUUUAGGAGGAUAUUUCUCUCUAAUAAUUUUUUAUACUUUUUUUAAUAUUAGGUUAAUUGGCCAAGCCAUAUAAUAAUUAUGCUUUUAGUAUAUUUUUCUUCGUUGUAUGAAUUAUUGCUUAUUUGGUUUGAAAAUUAUAAGCUUCAGCAUGAUGCCUUCUCGAUUUCGAACCCAACAAGUGGUGUCAGAGCCUAUGGUUCAAUGGUCCAGUUGUUCAAAUUGAGGAAAACUCAAGAUCAAAGUUGCAAUCAACUUGACGAUAAUGAAGAUCUUUUGUCAAAAAAAAGUCCAAAAAGAAAUACUACAUGUGGAGAUAUUUUAUUUUCAAUCAUAUGUUCAACAAUCCUGCUGCUAUAUAUUUAAAAAUAAAAAUACUUUUAACACUACGAAGGACUCACUUUUAAUCUCAUGAAGGGCUUAUUUUUAACCCUAUAGAGGGCUUAUUUUUAACCCUGCAAAUGACUCACUUUUAACUCAAAAGGACUCCAUUUAUAAACAUGCCAAGUAGAAGUGAUGAAGAUUAUGGGAAUAAAAAAAUCAUGCACGUGAUGAAGAAAGUGGAUCAAUUUUUUUCAAGAAAAUCAGCCAAAAAAGGGAGAUUUGUUAGAGUUUAUGUCUUGAUUUUCUUACCAAACUUGAGGUUUACUUUUUCUUAAAGAAAAAGUCAAAGUAGUAUGAUAAUUACUUUACUUUUUCUAAUAGAAAAAUAUAAUUCUCUUUCAUAUUUGGAUAACAUCUUUUUUAGAGGAAAUAUUUUGUAACUCGAUAAAUUGAAGAUCCCUCUUGUCAUACCAUAACACAAUAUCAUCCACAAUGUAGGCUUUAAACGGUCUUGUUUUGGGGAGAUUUCUCUCUAAUAGUUUUUAUGCUUUCUUUUAUAUUAGAUUUUCAUAUUUAGAACAAUUGGCCAAGCCAUAUAAUAUUAUGCUUUUAGUAUAUUUUUCUUUGUCAUCUGAAUUACCGCUUUCAUGGUUUGCUAAUUAUAAACUUUCACAUGACGCCCUCUCAAUUUCUAACCCUACACGNNNNNNNNNNNNNNNNNNNNNNNNNNNNNNNNNNNNNNNNNCGAUGAACCCUAGCUUAUUCAUCACUGACAAAGCUCACAAAACACCUUAACUCCAGGGUCAAUAUUAUACUCCAUCAAAAUAAGCAGGAACAAGCAUCAUCCCAGGGCUAUUCGAAGGAUGCACAUAAAGUGCAUUGUUUACAUUAUCUUUACUCCUAGCACUAUAUUCUCCUUGUUUAGUUGCCAUAAUCUCGAUUGGAAAAAAAUUUUAUGGAGAAAUUUGCAGAUAUGAGAAACAACAACAAAAUAUAGAAAUGUAAACUAAAUGACAGUUUCUUUAUGAAAUUGAGAAACAAAGGGCAUAAAAUUAAAGAGCAAUUGCUGCACAAAAAUGAAGGACAAAUUCAAAUUAAAGAAAAGUAAAGACGGAAUUAGAGAAGCACAAGAUUAUAUUGAGCAUCGCUGGCUCUGAUACCAUACUAAACAUGCACAUCCAUGAGGAAUUAUUAGAAACAAUCAACAUUCAUAGAUUAGAUGGGAGGCAAAACUGAAUAAGCAAAUGACAUGAAAAAUGAGAAAUGAAAAUUGUACUAAUUUCCUUUAAUGAGAGUAGUAUUUAUACAAGUCCUAAGUCUUGGUAUGAACAAUAUCCCGCCUGUCAUUUUAUUCAAAAUAAUCUAACUAACUAAUCAAGUGUGCUAACUGUCAGCUGACUAAUGCAACAAUGUUAACUGAAAAAUUUUAACAUUGGUAAGGCUCAACUAACCAAAGUAUUGAAGGUUCAUUAAUUUUUUGACACAUGGAUAUGUGAGGUCCAUUUGUCUACUUUAAAUCAAGAAUAAAAUUAACAAGAAAGAGAAAGGUAUAUCUAUAGUAAUUGAUAUGGAUUCCACUGACACAUAAAUUGAGUUAAACAAAGAUAAAAAAUGCAAUAGAAAUUCUAUGUGUUUGCUGUUUUUUUUUUCAAUACUAUUCUCUUUGCACGGGCGUUGCACAUGUGUCUCAUCAGCAUAAAGAGGUACUCCAAGAGAAUUUCUAAUUCUACUUAAUGACUCUUUACCCUAGAAAUUUAAUGGUAAAUUUAGAAGCCUAACCCAAAUUGGGAUAGUAGUCAAUACCUUAGCCUAGAAGUCAAAAUCAGCACUUCAUACCUUGAGUAUUAUUGGUUGAUUGUUUAUAGUAUGCGACCAGAGUAAAUAACUUCAUUAUGAUUAGUUAAAUAAGACGACGAAAUAUCCUUCAUUGUGGUAAUAAACUUUUGGCUUGCUAGUGAAGUUCCAUUGCACAACAAUGAACUGUUCAAGUGAACCAAUUAUGGGUGAAUCACCCACAACAUACAAAAUUAAUGUCUUUCUCCAAUUAUCAGUUUUCUUUUCAAUAUCUACCAGCUGAAGUUGAACAAUUUUAAUACCAUCUUGCACUACAUAGGGCACAAACUCCAAAUCUAUCUAUUUAGUUGUAAGUUUAUUUGUGUUGAACAAAGCAUUCCAAGGUUUUUCUGGUUCACCUUUGAACAUCUAAUUUCAUCUUGGCAGCAGGAUCUUUAUUUAUGGGAAUUUUCUCAAUCAAUUGCACGUUUCCCUCUUUUAGAGCUUAAAGUCUUGUUAUGAACUCCCACUAAUGUAGCCUUAAUUGUUGGUUCUCCCUAAUCUAAGGUAUGGGCUUUAACCAGAUUCUCACUUGCUGGUCCUCUCUUCAAUAGAGCAAUAUAUGGGGUAAUAGAUUUACCAUUCCUUAAGUACGUCGGUCCAUGUGGAGUUGUUACUAACUCUUGACCUUGCUGCCUAUACGCAGUCGCACUCUCCCCAUUCCGAAGGGCAUAUAUGUCAUAACCUAAACUAGGGCCUGGCCAGGACGGGCAUCUCAAGUCCAACAAAGAUCGAAGACCACCCCCUGAACCUAACCAAAUAGAACACAAUACCCCCAAUAGUGACUAAAUUUUGAAUAUAUAACAAGAUAGCAUAAGAUAAGCUCAAAGAAUUUAAGAUAUGUCUAUAACCGAUAACCGUUAACCAAUAAAAACAACCACCACCACCACCACCCAAGUCCACAGUAAUCCAUAAAGCCUUCUAACAAAUUUAAAAUUAAUAAAGUGUCGGGAUAUGCCCCUGAUGCUGACAAUGAAAGUGUAUAUGAACUCUUUAAGUCUAGUUUAUAAAAAAGAAACCGAUGGAAUGAUCAAGUCUUUCGGAGAAUGGAAGCUCACCACUUUACUACAAAUGAUCGAUGAACCGAGCUGAUCCACCUAACACCAUGCAGGAAAAGUAGAAGUAUCUUCGGUGCCUUUAUUGCAUGGGAAUACAAUGUUCGAAGAUGGUUAGUGGGUUGAGCACUAUAUAACUCAGGGAGAAGGUUAAAUCAAUGACAAUUCAAAAUUUAGUUCAACUCAAUGUACAUGUUCACCUAUAUGUAUACUUAUAUAAUAUGUCAGUAUAGGUAAAAAGGCUUAACAUGCUCUUUAAAACCUUAGCCUAGAUCGUGUAGCUCAACCGUCAUUUAAUAGUACCCACAGGCGAUAUGGUCCCCAGCUCUCACCCUCUGGUCGGGCCCCAGUGCAUGCAACCGCAAGAAUCAUAGAAUAAUCUCAUAUAUAUACAUGGGGGACUCGAACCUCCCAAUCAUAAACUAAGGUGACUUAAGCACCCGAUCAUAAAAUAUAAUAUGGGGGACUCGAACCUCCAAAUAAUAAUAAUAAGAUGGACUCAAACCACCUAGUCAUAACCGAGGCGACUCGAACCCUUGGCCAUUUCAACCCCUGUGCUAGAAAAUACAGUUUCUAAUAUUAGCCCCUCGGGACCUACACUUUCACGGCCUAGCUACACAACUCUCUUUAAGCUCUAUUAAAACAUUUAUCACACAUUGUCAUUCAUUGAACCAUAAUACAUAUUUAGGCAUACACUAUUGGUAUCGUUAUACCAACCACAGUUGCAAGAUAUCAUCAACAUGAAAAAUUAAUUCCAUUUAACUUGGGAGAACAACUCCCUUUGUUCAUUAAUACAAGGUAGGGUAAAACCGACUCCGUUUGUUCAUUAAAUAAAGCCAUCAUAUUUCAAUAACCUCUUAUAUCAUGCAAUUGUUCUGAAAAUGGUUCAAUGCAAUUAUAUUCAUGCUCAAAACAACUUCCAUAAAAUUUGGGAUGGGGUUAUUACCAAUUAAAUUGUAAAUAUUCACAAAAUUUAGGGAGAUCACAAUCCCCUAGUUUAUUCACCAUGCCCAUGCACCCCACAAGCCAUAAAUAAAGCAUGAACAAUUAUAUGUAAACCAUGGAAAAUAUUAUUCAGAAUCAAUCAUUCAAAACCCACAAUCCAUGUUCCAAAACCAACAUCCAAACCACAUGAAUAACUAAUUAAAACACAUACUUUUACAAAAUAUUUGUUGGGAAGAGUACCAUGCCUAAAAUAUCAAGAGUUAUGGAGAGAAUUUGCCCUUGAAAGCUCUAACUGAUCAACUUAUUUGAAACCCUAAGUAUCUUGCUUGAGAGAAUUUAGUGAGUUUAAGAGAGUGUUUUAAUUGUGAAUAGUAUGCUAAUGAAGUCCCAAAGAGGGUUUUAAGUAGUGGGGGCUAAGUAGGGUAGGAGAGAAAUUACCAAGAUGCCCUUAAUUAAAAGAAUAAAAAUUGACGCCUAGUUGCUACGGCUGACCUCACGGAACAUAUGGUCACCCUACGACUCAUUUAGUCCAGUUGUAUUCUGGAUAGUGUCCAGGGUUAUCCCACACUGGUCUGGUUACGAGUUGCACAAUAUGACUCAUACCCAGUCCUUAUGACUGAUAAACAUACUAGUCGCAGUCCCAACAGGAACUUAGGAUAGUACAUUGGCUCUUUUGCGAUUCACACCCUACAACUCAUUACGAGGCCCUACGACUCACAGGGUCUAAUUCAUAGUCAAGAUAGAAACUCCAGGCUAACAUACUAUGGCCAGGCUAUGAUUGGGUCCAUAAGACAGAUAAUGACACCCUAUAACUCGCAUGGUGAGUCGUAGUGGAGACAGUAAGCUCAAAGAUCAAUAAAUUUUUCAGGGAUAAAAAACUCAGGAUGUUACAUUCUCCCCCCUCAAGAUCAUUAGUCCCCAAAUGAUGAGACAAGGUAUCCCUUUGCAAGAUUUAACAUAGAAACACACCCAAUCUUACCUUUAACUAAGAUAGAAAAUAGAGAUAUUAAGAAUAACACAUACCUUAAGCACGAUUUUUCAGAAGGGGGAACAAGAAGGGAUACUUUGACUUCAUGUCCUCUUCAUCUUCCCAAGUAGCUUCUUCAACCUUAUGGUUCCUCCAUAGAACCCUUACCGAGGACACAUCCUUAGUCUGUAACCAAUGGAAUUGCCAAUCCAAGAUCUCCACCUGCACUUCCUCAUAAGAUAAGGAAUCCUAUACACCAAGGAAGGAUCUCCCACGCACUUUCUCAAUAUUGAAACCUGAAUAUCCGGGUGAAUAGAACCCAAACUCUAAGGCAAUUCCAAUUAAUAAUCCACAUUGCCCACUUCCUUCAAAAUCAAAUAAGGGCCUACAUAAUAGGGACUAAGCUUUCCCUUCUUUCUAAACUGCAUCACUUCCUUCAUGGGAGACACAUCCAAGAAUACCAAUUACCAACUUCAAAUUCUAGCUUUUUUUGCCUCACGUCCAUAUAGGACUUCUAGAGACUUUGGGUGGCCUUAAGCCUAUCCCGAAUUACCUUCACCUUCUUCAUAGAUUAAUUAACUAAAUCAGGACCAAACAACCCAACCUCGCCAACCUUAAACCACCGAAUAGGAGAAUGACAUCUCCUACCAUACAAAGCCUCAAAUGGAGACAUACCAACGUUACAGUGGUAGCUAUUAUUAUAUACGAACUCAAUAAGGGGCAAAUGAUCAACCCAACUACCACCAAAAUUAAUCACAAAAGAUCUAAGCAUAUUCUCUAAUAUCUGAAUGGUCCUCUCCACUUUUCCAUCCAUGUGAGGGUGCAAAGAGGUUCUAAGGUUUACUUUAGUCCCCAAACCUCUAUGAAAAGAAUGCCAAAAGAGUGAGGAGAACUGAGUACCUCGAUCUGAUAUAAUAGAAACCGAUGCACCAUACAACUUUACGAUCUCCUGAAUGAACAGCCUUGCAUAAUCCUCAACAAAGUAAUUAGUCCUCAUAGGUAAGAAAUAAAAAGACUUAGUCAUCCUAUCCAUGAUGACCCAAAUUGAAUUGAACUGAUGGAGAGACCACAAAGACCAGUAACAAAAUCCAUAUUAAUCACUUUCCAUAUAUUUUCGGGUAACUCAAUCUCUUAAGACAACCCACUAGGUCUCCAGUGCUCUAUCUUUACUUGUUGAAAAAUCAUACACUUGGCCACAAAAUUUGCUAUAUCUCACUUCAGGUUAUUCCGCCAAUAGAUCUCUUUCAAAUUAUUAUAACUCUUCACCAAACUAGGAUGAACAAUGUACUUCAACUCAUGAGCUUCAACCAAGAUCCUCUCUCGUAGCCUAUCAAUAUCGGGAACACACAACCUACCUUAGUAACUCAAUAUACUAUAAUCACCAAUCUAGAAAACCAUCAUUUUCUACUGGCCCACGUAUCCUUUACCAACUAUCACUUUUACUCCUCCACAUGAAAUAAUCGUUCCAUAGAUAACUUGCUAAGAGCAUCAGCAACCACAUUAGCUUUACCUAGAUGAUAGUGAAGACUCAUAUCGUAGUUUUUGAGCAACUCAAUCCACCUUCUCUGCCUGAGAUUCAAAUACUUCUAGGAGAACACAUAUUGGAAACUCUUAUGGUCUGAAUACAUGUCAACAUGAACCCCAUACAAAUGCUAGUUCCAAAUCUUCAAAGCAAAGACUACAACCAAUAAUUCUAAGUCAUGAGUUGGGUAAUUCUUCUUAUAUACUUUCAACUGCCUAGAAGCAUAGGCCACAACUUUACCAUUCAACAUCAAUACAUAACCCAGUCUCAUAUGGGAUACAUCACAAUAACCACAAAACCCUCGACCCUUAAGUAGGGUCAAAACUGAAGCCGAAGUCAACUUGUCCUUUAAUUUCUCAAAGAUACCCUCACAAGUAUCGAACCACAAAAAAUCACCUUCUUUUAGGCCAACUUAGUUAAUGGAGCAGAGAUUGAAAAGAACUUUCCACGAAUCUCUUAUAGUACCCGGCUAAACCUAAGAAUCUCCAAAUGUCAGUUGGAGUAAUAGGUCUGGGACACUUCUUAGCCGCCUCAACUUUCUUUGGAUCCACUAUGAUCCCCUCACUAGAAAAAACAUAACCCAAAUAAGACACCACAUUUAACCAUAACUCACACUUAGAGAAUUUAGCAUACAACUGCUGAUCCUUAAGGGUCUACAAAACUAUAUGGCGGUGACUAGCAUGAUCCGCCUCACUCUUUGAAUACACUAAAAUGUCAUCAAUAAACACAAUGACAAAUAAGUCCAUAAAUUGAAGGAAUACCCAGUUCAUAAGAUCCAUAAAUGCCACUGAAGCAUUAGUCAAACCAAAGACAUGGCCAAGAACUCAUAAUGGUCGUAUCGGGUACAAAAAUAGUCUUAGGGAUAUCCACUUCCCUAAUCUUCAACUGAUAAUAUCCCUACCGAAGAUCAAUCUUAGAGAAGUACUUACAACCUUAAAGCUAAUAAAAUAGGUCAUCAAUCCUAGGAAGAGGAUACUUAUUCUUUACCAUUACCUUAUUCAACUGGCAGUAAUCUUAGCAUAUCCAAAGGGACCCAUCCCUUUUACGCUCGAAAAAAUAGGAGCACCCCAUGAGGAAACACUAGGAUGAAUAAAACCCUUAUCUAGAAGAUCUUUGACCUGCUCCUUAAGUUCUUUCAACUUAGUUGGAGCCAUUUUAUAAGAAGGGAUAGAGAUAGGUCGGGUAUUUAAAAGAAGAUCAAUCCCAAAAUCUAUAUCCCUAUCGAGAGGGACACUAGAAAGGUCAUCAGGAAAUACUUCGGGGAAUUCACAAAUUACUGGAACAGAUUAAAAUAAAGGAACCUCAAAACUAAAAUCUUUAACAUGAACUAAAUAGUAUAGACAUCCCUUGUAGAUCAACCUCUGGGCUAUAAGAUACAAAAUGAAUCUUCCCUUAGGCAUUAGGGAACUACCUUCCCACUUAUUUAUUGGUUCAUUUGGGAAUUAGAAAUUUACCCUUAGGGUCCUAUAGUCAAGAUACACAUAGCAUGAGUGCAACCAAUACAUCCCUAAAAUCAUAUCAAAGUCUAACAUGCCCAACUCUAUCAGAUCCACUAAUGUCUUCCUACUAUGGAUAGGCACCACAAAACCCUUAUAAAUCCUUCUAGACAUAAUAGAAUCACCCACUGGGGUAAACACAAAGAAAGGAUUAGGAAUA
rnacentral:lncRNA from 1 species